CAGAGAGCUGGUUUCAAGCGCAGGGCGCAGCAGGUGUUUAUUGUAAAGGACCACAGGAGGAGGCAGGUAGCUGGGUCCAGGAGCAGGCAGAAGGUCAUACACAUGGGUCCAAAAAGUCAACGGUACAGGCAGGGAAAAGGCUAGUAACGUCGUCCAGGAGAUCAGGCAUUAGGUUGAUAACAGGAAAUCCGAUAGGCUAAAGUACAGGCAGGGAAUAGCCAAAAGGCUUCGUUAGUGAGGCAGGCAAAAAAAUCAUAUACGGGAGGAGUACAAUUACGGCGAAACCCAGAACUCCGAAAAAACAACAACUUCACAAUGAAGGGGUGCAAAAAAACUGAACUAAAUAGUGUGUGAUAAUGACAUACAGGUGUGUGAACAGGUGAUUGGGAUCUGGAGUGUGAGCUUGCUCUCAGGGGUUCUACGUGUUUGAGAGAGUGAGUUGGAAGCAGACGUUACGCGAUGCCUUAUUUAUAGUACGAGGCCAAUCAAUCACGCGUGCUUUCACGUCGACGUGCCUAUGUGGAUGUGAUAUUAUCCUCAUAAUCAUCAUGAGGACUCCCUAUCGUGACGUUACUCACUGUAUCUGUAUGCAGUGCUCCAUGGAGCGCAUGCUACGAGCACAUGGAAAUGAGGUCGAGAUUUGUGUUUGAAAGGAACGCACCUAUCCGAAAUGGAAUAUAACUAAUAAUGCACAAAACGGAGUCAGGGAACGGGAUGACUGUUUGACGACCCUGCCCUUUCUGCUAUACUCAGCUGUCAAUCAACCAGGAUCAGCAGAUCUCUAAUCAAGACAUGGACCUGGAUGCAAAGACUGAACAGGACCUGAGCCGUAGGACCCUGCCUCAGGACUACCUGGCAUGAUGGCUCCUUGCUGUCCCCAGUCCACCUGGCCGUGCUGCUGCUCCAGUUAACUGUUCUGCCUGCGGUUAUGGAACCCUGACCUGUUCACUGGAUGUGCUACCUGUCCCAGACCUGCUGUUUUCAACUCUCUAGAGACAGCAGGCGUGGUAGAAAUACUCUCAAUUAUCGGCUAUGAAAAGCCAACUGACAUUUACUCCUGAGGUGCUGACUUGUUGCACCCUCACAACUACUGUGAUUAUUAUUAUUUGACCAUGCUGGUCAUUUAUGAAUAUUUGAACAUCUUGGCCAUGUUCUGUUAUAAUCUCCACCCGGCACAGCCAGAAGAGGACUGGCCACCCCUCAUAGCCUGGUUCCUCUCUAGGUUUCUUCCUAGGGAGUUUUUCCUAGCCACCGUGCAUCUACACCUGCAUUGCUUGCUGUUUGGGGUUUUAGGCUGGGUUUCUGUACAGCACUUUGAGAUAUCAGCUGAUGUACGAAGGGCUAUAUAAAUACAUUUGAUUUGAUGAUCAAAGUGAUUCAGGAGUAACAUUAAAAUAUAAUAAUAUGGCCCACCAACAUUAGACAACUGUAUAGAAAACCCCUCAAAUUGCUGAAAUAAGUCAAUUUAAACAUUAGAUGGUAACUAAAAUAGCUGUGCAGAUGUCCCUAUUUUGCUAAAUCCAGAGGUUGUGAGUUCAAAUCCCAGGUGAGGUAAUAUUGAAAAGUCAAUACUAAGUGAUCAUGUCAAAUGUAAUUAUAUUGAUUAGAGGUUUACAUUAUUUUAGCUGAACAGUGUCUCUUAGCCUAAAACCCCCAUACCACUUAAUUACUUCCCUUACAAAAAAUACAAUUGUGAAAUGUGAAGUUUCACAAUUUUCACAUGUGAAAACGGGUCAGUUUCAAAUAUUGCAUUUAAUAUUAACAUUUAUUUCACAUUGAGAAUAACAUGUUUUCACCUCACACUUGAAUUGAAAAUCUAAUUCUUACAUGUGCAUUUUCACACUUAACAAACUUUCACGUGUGAAAAUCGAAUUCUGACAUGUGGAAUAGCAUUUUUGUUACGGUUUUCUUCCGUCGAGAGAGAGAGGACCAAAAUGCAGCGUGGUUAUUUCGAUACAUGUUUAAUAAAAGAUAAACAUGAACAAUACAAAAACAAUAACGUGAAAACCUAACCAGCCUUAUCUGGUGCAAACAAACACUGAGACAGGAACAAUCACCCACAAAACACAAAGAAUAUAGCUGCCUAAAUAUGGUUCCCAAUCAGAGACAACGAUAAACACCUGCCUCUGAUUGAGAACCACUCCAGGCAACCAUAGACUUUUCUAGACAACCCCACUAACCACAAUACCUACAAAAACCCCAAGACAAAACACACCACAUAAAUAACCCAUGUCACACCCUGGCCUGACCAAAAUAAUAAAGAAAACACAAAAUACUAAGACCAGGGUGUGACAAUUUUCACAUUUGAAAAACGUUGAAAUUUGGCAUCCCCAUGUUGUCACAUUUAUUUAACAUGAGAUUGUUUUCACAUGUGUAGUUUCAUGUUAUCACAGGUUGCGUUUACAUGCUGUGACAUGUUAUCACAUUACAGUAACUUCACAUAAUAUCAUGUGAUCACAUGAAAUUCAUGUUGUUUUUCUGUAACGGAAUGUCAAAGUAUUUUUUUUUUUUUUACAGAUGAAUAAAAAAUGAAAAGCUGA